rnacentral:rRNA from 1 species
UACAGAGACUGCGAGCGUUAUUCGGAUUCACUGGGCGUAAAGGGUGCGCAGGCGGCCAAGUGUGUGAGGCGUGAAAGCCCGGGGCUUAACCCCGGAAUUGCACCUCAAACUACAUGGCUAGAGCAUUGGAGAGGGUAGCAGAAUUCAUGGUGUAGCAGUGAAAUGCGUAGAUAUUGGGAGGAACACCAGUGGCGAAGGCGGCUCACUGGACCGGUACUGACGCUGAGGUGCGAAAGCGUGGGGAGCAAACAGG